CCACACUGUAGAAAUAAACAAGCAUCUGGGACCCAGAGAGAUCUCAUGGAAGAACAGUGGUUUCAUCUCUCUCUCCAAAAUUCGUCUGAAAUAGGACCAGAAUAUCAGCUAUAAGCCUGGCUGGGAUAUGCUCACCCUUCAAACUUGACCCUCAGUCUAUAAUACAGUUGGAAAUGAGACUUCAUCUGGAGCUGAGAUGCAGCUGGGAGGUGUCCUGUGAGACUCAUCAAGAAGAGAUGAUUCUCUGAGCCCAAACAAGCUGGCUUCUGUUGUAUACACUGUGGUCAUCCCCAUGGUAAAUCGAUUGAUCUACAGUCUGAAGAACAAAGAAAUCAAAGAUGCCCUAAACAGAUGGAAGAAGAGAAUAUUCUCCUGGAAUUUUUGAUUACGGGGUGCCUUUUAGGGCUUAGGACACAAAACAUUUAGAACAGUGUAUGAAAAUAGCUGUAAUAGCCAUGAUAAGCCUUGUGAUAUAUUGUGUGGCUUUUCAUAAAUAUUUGCUUCCCCUCCACUCCCUGGGAGAGGGUGGUACUUCAUCCCUUUGAAA